AUGAUGGAUAGGCCAAGUACUUCUACCAACCCACUCUUCAUCGAGCAAGACGACGACAUGUCAUCAUACAUCACCAAGAGCCACCUCUUUGGUGCACAACGAGCAUUGCAUCAAGAGCAACAAGCAAUGAACGACCGCAUCGACAACCUCGCCACCGACUUACGACUCUCCGAGCAACGUACAAGAGACUACUUCGACAACAAGCUCGACGCGCACAAGCAAGAGAACGAUGCAAGAAUGGACGAGAUCCGCGCCUUGUUGGUGAACCGGCCUCCUUCUACAUCCUCAUACUCAAGACGGAGCCACUCAAGCCGACACUCCGACGACUCCUUCUCCGGCUCAAGUACACCGUCAUCGAACACUCUUCGACGAGCCGCGCGUCAAGACCGUCAUGCAUCUCGCAACCCGCUACAUGUCAAGCAUUCACAAGAGCAAGACGAUGAGCAAGUACCUCGUCCCCAAUCAAACCAAGUAGCGUUUGCUCAAGCUCAAGAACGACAACGUCUUCAUCGCCAAGAAGAACAAGAACGAGCGCGUCUACACCAAGAGCAACAAGACGCCGAGGCUCAACGUCUCCAACAACAACAACGAGAAGCACAAGCUCGCGAGGCGAAACGUGCCCUUCAAGCAUCAAGUCGAGCUAUCGCCAACCGCAAUCGCGAACGGUGCAAUCAAGAGGAAGCCCUUCGAGAAGAAAUCCAAGAGAGGAACUACCAUCCGCGUGUCCAACGUCAAGCUACCUCACAAGCUCCUCAAGCUCAACCUCAACCUCAAGGUCAACAAGAGCAAGUUGAUCAUGGACUUCCUCCACGCCAAGAGCAACAUGAGGAUGAUUACCCUCCACGUCAAGGGCGUCAUCAUCACCAUCGCCAACAACACAAUGAAGAGCAACGCUAUGGAAAGCUCAAAUUCACAAUGCCCAAGUUCAAUGGAAGCAAUGACCCCGAAGAGUACCUUUCAUGGGCAUUGAAGGUCGACAAGAUCUUUCGUUUGCACAACUAUGAGGAAGAGAAGAAGAUCGCUAUGGCAUCACUUGAGUUCCAAGACUAUGUGCUCAUAUGGUGGGAACAAGUCCUUGAGCGCCGACAAGCAAGAGGUGAACCUCCAAUCACCACUUGGGCUCAAAUGAAGGAUGUCAUGCGAGCACGUUUUGUGCCAACCUACUACAACCGUGAUCUCUUCAAGAAGCUAUAA
rnacentral:rRNA from 1 species